rnacentral:rRNA from 1 species
ACCCGCACAACCGGUGGAGCGUGUGGUUCAAUUCGAGACAAAGCGAAAAACCUUACCAGGUCUUGACAUGGUACCGUUUUAACCCUGCAGAAACGUGGGGCUAUCCGCAAGGAUGGUAUCACAGCUGCUGCAUGGCUGUCGUCAGCUCGUGCCGUGGGGUGUUCCCUUAAGUGGGCUAACGAGCGCAACCCGUAUCUAAUGUUGCAAGUGUCAUUAGAGACUGCCAGUGUCAAACACUGGAGGAAGGAACGGACGACGUCAAGUCAGCACGGCGCUUAUGACCUGGGUCACACACACCCUACAAUGGCGAAAAACAAUGGGACGCACGGCGGUAACGCUUCGCAAAUCCCGUAUAAAUUUCGCCUCAGUUCAGAUUGAGGGCUGCAACCCGCCCUCAUGAAGUCGGAAUCGGUAGUAAUCGCAGAUCAGCAGGCUGCGGUGAAUACGUUC